rnacentral:rRNA from 1 species
UACAGAGGGCUCAAGCGUUGUUCGGAUUCAUUGGGCGUAAAGGGCGCGUAGGCGGCGUGGUAAGUCGGGUGUGAAAUUUCGGAGCUUAACUCCGAAACUGCAUUCGAUACUGCUGUGCUUGAGGACUGGAGAGGAGACUGGAAUUUACGGUGUAGCAGUGAAAUGCGUAGAGAUCGUAAGGAAGACCAGUGGCGAAGGCGGGUCUCUGGACAGUUCCUGACACUGAGGCACGAAGGCCAGGGGAGCAAACGGG